rnacentral:tRNA from 1 species
GAGCAUAUACAAUGAGUUUGUGUUGAAUCUUGCAAAGAUUCAGUUUAGUAUAUAUAAUACUUAUGCUUU